rnacentral:SRP_RNA from 1 species
AGCCGGGCCCUGUGCAACAAGGAAUCGCGAACCCCGCCAGGUCCGGAAGGAAGCAACGGUAGCGACACUCUUUGUGUGCCAGGUAACCCGGCUAUC